rnacentral:ribozyme from 16 species
AAAAAAAAAAAAAGAAGAAAAUAUAAUUAUAAAUUUUUCGUACUUUUGAGGUAGGCUUUGGUUUCUCUUAUUGGUUUCCCGUCUCUCGCUCUCUCAUUACGCCGUAAUUGUCACAGGAGAAAGACCUAGCUACUCCUUGCGAAUAUGGAGUUGAAAACGAUGUGCCGACAUCUUUUCUAGUGUAUAUAUAAGAUGGAGCACAAACAAC